rnacentral:ncRNA from 1 species
CAACCCCAGCUCAAGCGAGAACACCCGCUGAGUUUAAGCAUAUAAUUAAGCGGAGGAAAAGAAACUUACAAGGAUUCCCCUAGUAACGGCGAGCGAA